rnacentral:rRNA from 1 species
AGUGAACGCUGGCGGCAGGCCUAAUACAUGCAAGUCGAACGGCAGCACAGCAGAGCUUGCUCUGUGGGUGGCGAGUGGCGGACGGGUGAGGAAUACGUGGGAAUCUGCCCAGUCGUGGGGGAUAACGUAGGGAAACUUACGCUAAUACCGCAUGCGCCCUUCGGGGGAAAGCCGGGGGACCUUCGGGCCUGGCGCGAUUGGAUGAGCCCACGUCGGAUUAGCUAGUUGGCGGGGUAAAGGCCCACCAAGGCGACGAUCCGUAGCUGGUCUGAGAGGAUGAUCAGCCACACUGGAACUGAGACACGGUCCAGACUCCUACGGGAGGCAGCAGUAGGGAAUAUUGGACAAUGGGCGCAAGCCUGAUCCAGCCAUGCCGCGUGAGUGAAGAAGGCCCUCGGGUGUAAAGCUCUUUUGUCCGG